rnacentral:miRNA from 1 species
GACGUCGAUAUUCGACGUCAUAAAAACGAUGAAAUUUGGUGUUGAUGACGUCGAUAAUCGACGGGAUAAACACCAUCAACUUUCGUGUUAAAGACGUCGAUAUUCGACGUAAUAAACACGAUCAACUUUGGUGUUUAUGACGUCGAUAUUCGACGUCAUAAACACGAUCGACUGAGGUGUUUAUGACGUCGAUAUUCGACGUUAUAAACACGAUCAACUUUGGUGUUUAUGACGUCGAUAUUCGACUUC